CGGCGAGUGAAGAGGAAAGAGCUCAAAGUUGGAACCUGUUUGGCUUAGCUAAACCGGAUUGUAAACUGUAGAAGUGUUUUCCAGACACGCCUGGUAAAAAAGUCCUUUGGAACAGGGCAUCAUAGAGGGUGAGAAUCCCGCCUUUGGCCAGAGCUGUUGUCUUUUGUGAUACAUUUUCAAAGAGUCAGGUUGUUUGGGAAUGCAGCCUAAAUUGGGUGGUAAAUCUCACCUAAAGCUAAAUAUUUGCGAGAGACCGAUAGCGAACAAGUACCGUGAGGGAAAGAUGAAAAGAACUUUGAAAAGAGAGUUAAACAGUAUGUGAAAUUGUUAAAAGGGAACCGUUUGGAGCCAGACUGGCUUGACUGUAAUCAAUCUAGGCUUCGGCCUGGAUGCACUUGCGGUUUAUGCCUGCCAACGACAAUUUUUUUUGAGGGAAAAAACUAUUAGGAAUGUGGCCCCCCUCGGGGGGUGUUAUAGCCUUUUAGAAAAUACCUUGAAUUGGAUUGAGGAACGCAGUGAAUGCCUUUAGGCAAGAUUGCUGGGCGCUUUCGCUAAUAAAUGCUAGAAUUUCUGCUUCGGGUGGUGCUAGUGUUUAAAGGAGAAACUCGUCUGGUAUA
rnacentral:rRNA from 1 species